AGCGAACGCUGGCGGCAGGCCUAACACAUGCAAGUCGAACGAAGUCUUCGGACUUAGUGGCGGACGGGUGAGUAACACGUGGGAACGUGCCCUUUGGUACGGAAUAACUCAGGGAAACUUGAGCUAAUACCGUAUGUGCCCUUCGGGGGAAAGAUUUAUCGCCAUUGGAGCGGCCCGCGUCUGAUUAGCUAGUUGGUGGUGUAAUGGACCACCAAGGCGACGAUCAGUAGCUGGUCUGAGAGGAUGAUCAGCCACAUUGGGACUGAGACACGGCCCAAACUCCUACGGGAGGCAGCGGUGGGGAAUCUUGCGAAAUGGGCGAAAGCCUGACGCAGCCAUGCCGCGUGAAUGGUGAAGGUCUUAGGAUUGUAAAAUUCUUUCACCGGGGACGAUAAUGACGGUACCCGGAGAAGAAGCCCCGGCUAACUUCGUGCCAGCCGCCGCCGUAACAC
rnacentral:rRNA from 1 species